GAGGACAUAGCUCAGUGGUAGAGCGUGUGCUUAGCAUGCACAAGGUCCUGGGUUCAACCCCAGUCCCUCCA
rnacentral:tRNA from 1 species